rnacentral:ncRNA from 2 species
UUAUUGUGCUAGGGGUGCUGGAUAGGCCGGCUGAGAUAAAGACCCGUUUUAAGUCUUUGACCCUUUACCUGAUCUGGAUAAUGCCAGCGAAGGGAAGUUAAACGCUAAUUAU